AGCCAGUAGCUCCUCCCACUUCCCGUGGUUUUCGGUUGAACCGAAACCUGGCCGUUGGCUGAGCGAGCGCGGGGUGUUUGGGAUGCGGCACGGCGAGGGGGAGCAGGCUUGGCUCGGGCGUAGGGAAUUGGUUUUUUUGUUUUAGCUAUCCAGGUUGUGACUGGUUUACAUAAUUACACGAUUAAGCCAUCAUUGUAGGAAAGGCUUUGCAGGAGAAAAAUGUCUUAACUGGAGGUCUUUGAGACAGAAAAACCCUGCCUCAGCCCUUGGGUCCUGAGAGUCGCGUUUCUUCUCCCCUUCGCUUAAAUAUGUAAACCAGAAUCAUUAUGUUUGGUUCAUGGAACGGAGGAAAAAAAUCCGUGUGCAGGGUCGAGACUGUCGUGGCGGAAGCCGCAGCACCCGGGAGGCAGGAAAAGGAAACCUGGACACAGGCACGUAUGAGGGAAGACAAUGUGGAGAGGCAAGGAGAAGAUGGCCACCUGCAAGCCAAGGAGAGAGGCCUGGAACACACUCUUACUUCAUGGCCCUCAGAAGGAGGCCACCCUGUCAACACCUUGAGCUCAGACUUCAGCCUCCAGAGCUGUGAAAAAAGAAAUUUUUGUUGUUUAAGCCCCUCAGUUUGGGGUAAUUUCUUAUGGUGGCCCUAGCCAAUGAAUACAGGUCCCAAAUAACUCUUCA
rnacentral:lncRNA from 1 species